ACGGGUGAGUAACGCGUGAGGAACCUGCCUUUCAGAGGGGGACAACAGUUGGAAACGACUGCUAAUACCGCAUAACAUAUAGAUGUCGCAUGGCAUUUAUAUCAAAGAUUUAUCGCUGAAAGAUGGCCUCGCGUCUGAUUAGCUAGUUGGUGAGGUAACGGCCCACCAAGGUGACGAUCAGUAGCCGGACUGAGAGGUUGAACGGCCACAUUGGGACUGAGAUACGGCCCAGACUCCUACGGGAGGCAGCAGUGGGGAAUAUUGGGCAAUGGGCGCAAGCCUGACCCAGCAACGCCGCGUGAAGGAAGAAGGCUUUCGGGUUGUAAACUUCUUUUGUC
rnacentral:rRNA from 1 species